UUCUUCUUCUUCUUGUAAGGUUUAUUGGCGGUGGACAAGCCAACUUCUGGUGCACUACCGCCACCUUCUGAACUGGAGUGUGGAUCCAAUUAUUUUUGUAAUUUUGUAAUUACAAUUGUACAACUGCUUCUUUUAAUUCCCUUUUUUUAUCAUAUCCUUUACAUUCUAUAGGCCCUUUUCACGUGACGUCACGCAUCUUCCGUUCUGCCGCGAAGCAGUGUAUCGUUACUUCCGCUAGCGCCUCAGAAUGGAGUUUACCAAGUCCCUUGCACAGCUGUCACAAAUACGGCUAGAUGAUAUACAACAUCUUGCAGACAAAUUUUCGCUUAUGACAAGAUCAAAGCUAAAUAAAGGAUACAAAUUCUUCAUUGAACAGUACCUGUUUGAUUCUGAAGGUUUUGUUUUGUUUUCUUUUUGUGUUAGCGAAGGUGCUAGGAUAAAGUACUUGAAUACGUGUUCUAUCAGUUUUUUUUUUCACUGCUGUUAAAUUCCAGCGCAACAGCAAAAUAGACGUUCUUCUUCUUCCUCUUCUUCUUGUUCGUUGCAAGACGGAUGUUAUGAAACACUGCUUUGCGAAAAGGCGAAAGUUGAGGUACAUCAUUGUGAAAAGGGCCUUUUAACCCAUUUUCUACAGAUUCUUGUUGACUAAACUUUUGAUAUAUUCCAUUUGGGUGUUUAUUUAUUAAAUAAAGUGUCUUAUUGAGUCCUGUGUAUCCUUUUCUCAGACGCGAGAGCACUACUCCUUCCCUUCUAUUUUUCCCCAUGAAAUUUCUAAUACCAAUAUACCUCGUAAUAUUAUAUAAAUGUCUUGUACUGUACUGUUUGUGUCCCAAUAAUUCUGCCAUAUUUUUUGAGAAAUAGUCUUUUAUAAUUGUUUUUGCUUCACCUUUACUUAAUAAAACUUUCAUUUCUAUUAUUUGUGACUUAAUGGAUUCUUUGGCAAACGUAUCUACUACUUCAUUAUCCUUCACCCCUACAUAUGCAGGAACUGUUUUUUUUCAGUGACUGGGGAGCGGCUAAAAAUGCUUGUACAAUAUAUAAGCGAGGGCUGAACUCUUCCAGAAUUCCCGCCAUGAGCAUGUAAAAACCUGUCUGUCAGAUAGGAAUACUGGAUAAUGAAAUGUGAAAGUAAUAAGCACCAAGUUCUUAUGUGUCUAACUAUCAAGAAACCAUUUUUGUUCAGUUAAGACUUCAAAGCUGCAUUGCUUUAGGUUUGAAAAAUAGUAUGUUACAUAGUUUUUUAAGACAAAAAUGAGCUUUACCCCAUAGAUAAAGAUGAAAAAAAGAGGUUAUGUAAUGGCAUGCUUUAACAUAAGAUCAUGAGAUGCAAUAUGCAGAGAAUUGCAAGAAUUGCAAGUCGAGGCAAGAUCUUGACAUCUAGGCAUUCUUUAGUUGGCUAUUGAUUCAUCUCUUAAUCUGGGCAGGACAAGGGCCUUAAUAAAGAUCUAUGGAAAUAGAAUCUCACUAAACGAAAUAUCUUAAAGUGAACAAGUAAAUAAGAUACAUGUAAGCAAUGUAUUUGCAUUCCACAACACACACUUAACAGUGGGACUAAGUUUAGCUGUGAGAGAGGUUUUUCAUUAAAGUCAAAAGAUAUGGUCGUACAUGUAAACUGUGAAGAUGAACAAAACAUGAAAACAUGUUUUAAUCUUAUGUUUUUAUUGUAAACAGUGGGUGUUUUAUGUAAUGUUAGCAUCACUAAAACCAGCCAACUGGAACGUUUACUAAACACUGACUUUCACUAUUUUAAAGCCUAAAUUCGGGUAAACCUUCAAUUAUUUUUUCCUAAAACAAUACAAAGCUGACCUGUAAAUAACAGGUAGAGCAGCACCUUUCUGGGAACAGCGGUCUGUGUGAAUGGGGUUUUAGUCAAAGCCAAACCCUGUUGACGACAAUAAUCUAACGUUACUCAUGUGUUGUUAAAGUCCCCGUGAACUGGAAGUUGCGAUCGUUUUUAAUUCCACAUUUUGACGCAUUUCCGAGUGAAAUGGAAUUUUGAAUGAGAAAAAUAGCGGCCGUGGCUUUCGUCUUUCUCUGCGAUUUGAUUGGAUGUAUAAAAACAGCCGUCGCAUUUUGAAAUGGAACUGGGAGCAGACUGACAUUUGAAGGGGAGGAGUUAACCCCGCCCAAGCCGUCUAACAUAAGUCAUAUACAAUGGAUAGUCGUUACAGGACAGAAGUGCAUUUUCAGACUUUAACUAAAGAUUAAGAGAGCACAUGGUUUUUAAAAAGCGAAUGACCCACAUUGAUAAACUAUUUACAAUAAAUGCUGCAAUAUUUCAUAAAAAAAUGGUACUGUUAAUUCAGGCAAACAAAGAUAUUGCAUUUAUUGAGCCUGGCAACAUUAAUCACAAUACAUUUGAUGCAAUGUAAUAGUCAACUAAUUGCAGAAUGCAUUCAUAACGACAUCUACAGAACAUAACAGGUUUGGACUGAAUAAUUCAAUAAAUUACCUGAAAAAAAACAUGUUUUUCAUGGUAUGCCAAGGCACAAUAAUGAUAAUUGUGAUUUAAAUUCAUACAGGCACUUGUACAACCUUGUCUAUGCGAUCUUAAUCAAACGACUUUUACUGUAUCCAUUAGUAUCAGCAUUAAGGCUAUUUGACUAAUAAAAAACAGUGUUGUGGUUCUACUCAGUCCAUUUAAAUGCAAUAAAUGACCAAACCAAAAGCAUCUAAAGUGCCUUUAGAUCCAUUAACAGUCCAUUUUUACAAGCUGCUCAGCUUCCACCGAUCAGCUGAGCUGAAAAUGUGUCCCAUUCUGAACAACGGGAAACAAAAUGAAUGCUGAACGGCUGAUCACACACAGUCCAAAAGACCUUGCAAGUGGGUUCAAUUCGCUUAGAAAUGCUUGUUUUAAUACACAGGUUACAAAACACAUAUAUUAAUGUGAACAUAAUACAUCCUCUCACAUUUGUGAGUAG